GGCGGUGGUUUAACUAAUCAGAGGAAUUUGCCCUAUAAUCGAUAACCCUCGUUAUAUUUUACUUAAGUUAGUAUUCAGCUUGUAUACCGCCGUCAUCAGGAAAUUUUAAGAAAUCAUUUUCAAGAACUUGUCAAAUAAUAUGUCAGGUCAAGGUGCAGCUCAUGCUUAAGUAGAGGUGAAUUACAAUAAAAGAAUUUAUUACGGAUUGUUUAAUGAAAAUUUAAUAAGAAGGUGGAUU
rnacentral:rRNA from 1 species